UACGUAGAGGGCAAGCGUUGUCCGGAUUUAUUGGGCGUAAAGAGCGUGUAGGCGGCCAGGUAGGUCUGCUGUGAAAACUCGAGGCUUAACCUCGAGCUGUCGGCGGAAACCAUCUGGCUAGAGUCCGGAAGAGGAGAAUGGAAUUCCAGGUGUAGCGGUGAAAUGCGUAGAUAUCUGGAGGAACACCGGUGGCGAAGGCGGCAUCCUGGACCGGUAUUGACGCUGAGGCGCGAAAGCUAGGGGAGCAAACGGG
rnacentral:rRNA from 1 species